UACGAAGGGGGCUAGCGUUGCUCGGAAUCACUGGGCGUAAAGCGCACGUAGGCGGAUCUUUAAGUCAGGGGUGAAAUCCCAAGGCUCAACCCUGGAAUGCCGGUGGAUACUGCGGGGCUAGAGUCCGGAAGGGGCGAGUGGAAUUCCAGGUGUAGCGGUGAAAUGCGCAGAUAUCAGGAGGAACACCAAUGGCGAAGGCAGCUCGCUGGGACGUGACUGACGCUGAGACGCGAAAGCGUGGGGAGCAAACAGG
rnacentral:rRNA from 1 species